rnacentral:lncRNA from 1 species
UGCAAGACUAGAGGAUGUCAAAAGAGGGUGUGUAUCCCCUAGAACUGGAGUUACAGAUGGUUGUAAGUACUAUGUGGGUGCUAGAAAUUGAACCUGGGUCCUCUGGAAGAAUACACUGCUGCUCUUAACUACCAAGCCUUGACAGCCUAGCCCUUGUUUAUUAAAUGCCACCCACUGAGCAUAUCUUGUUAAUAAUGCCUCACUCAGUGCUCAAAAUAAUUCUCUGACAGGUGUUAUUAUAUUAGCCUUGUCUUUCCCAGUGAGGAAUUGUGUUGAAUAACUUAUCUCCAAUUACCAAGAACCUUAAGUGUUAGAGGCAGGAUUCCAAACAGGCCUCUUAAUUCUGAACUGGCAUCUAGUGGAUUCCUUGGCACAAAGACACAGUACAUUAUUUUAGAGAGUGUGUUGAAUUUUUUUUCUCAAAAGAGAACUUAGGGGAACAAAUAGUAUUCUAUUUUUUCAUUCAGAUAUUAGAAUAGCUACAACUGCUUGCUUCUUGGCAACAUUUGUUUGGAAUGCUCUUUCUGGGUUUUUUUGUUUUUUGGUUUUUUUAUCCUAAGGAGGUGUCUGUUAUUGUUAGUGAGGUAUGUUUCUGAGAGGCAGCAAAACAAUGGAUCCUGUUUUCUAAUCCAGGCUAUCCGUCUAUUAGAAAAUGUUUGUUUGUGGUUUUUUUUAAGAUUUAUUUAUUAUAUUUAAGUACACUGUAGCUGUCUUCAGGCACACCAGAAGAGGGCAUCAGAUCUCGUUAUGGAUGGUUGUGAACCAUCAUGUGGUUGCUGGGAUUUGAACUCAAGACCUUCGGAAGAACAGUCAGUGCUCUUAACUGCUGAGCUAUCUCUACAACCCCUAUUAGAAAUUUUAAACAUUAAUAUGAAGUCUUGUUUAACAGUUUAUUAAUUCCUGUUAUUUUGUUGUGACUAGUAUUUUCUUAAACUUGUGUUGGUUAGCUUUUCUGGAAUUGUGUGUGGUCCCCUUGGAUAUGUUUAAUCUUUUCUUCAGUCUGAACUAUUCCUUCUAGUAUUAUCCUUCAUACAAUUGGCUUAAUGGAUAUAAAUUGCUUAAAUCUGUUUUUCAUCAUAGACAUUUUCUUUCUCCUUCGAUUAUGCCUGAUAGUUUUACUUGCAUAUUAGUCUUGGCUGGCAUCUGUAGUCCUAGUACUUGUAGAACCAAGGACUUUCAAAGCUUCCAUUUAAGUCAGGCAUUAAUCUGGUAUGCCUGCCUUUAUAUGUGACUUGGUCUCUCUUGUUGUUUUCAAUAUCCCUAGUUCUGUAUAUUAAAUGUUUUUAUUAUGUGACUGGUAAUUUCGUCUCUGGUUCUGGUAUUCUGUAUGUCUCUUGCACCUUAAUAAAAAACUCCUUAGAUCCCAUAAUUUUGUUGAAGAUAUUUCUGGGUCUUUGACCUGCAUUUCUUCUUUUUUAUAUACUUAUUAUUCAUAGAUUUGGCCUGUUUUGUUUUUUGUUUGUUAGUUCAUUUGUUUUCAAGUCAGGGUUUCUCUGUGUAGCUCUGGCUGUCCUGGAACUCACUCUGUAGACCAGGCUGGCCUCGAACUUGGAGAUCCUGCCUUUUCCUCUUGAACACUGGGAUUAAAGGUGAGCGCCACUACUGCCUAGCCAUUGGUCUUUUUAUAUUUCAGAUUUCCUGUAUAAUCGGUUUUGGUUUUUUGUCUUUAACAUUUCCCUUGACUGUUAGAUUUAUUCCUCUUCCUUGUCUGUGUAUCCUCAUAGUCUCUUUUCCACCCUGUCCACUCUGUCCAGAAUACUUGCUUCUGAGCUGUUUGUUUGACUUCCCAAGUUCAUUUCCUUUCAGCUUUUCUUCAGAAAUUCUGUCCUUUUUUUAAAAUUUUUUUAUUUUCAUAUCUUGAAAUGUUUCAUUUUUUGUGCAACUGUUUAUGUUUAUGGGACCCAACUCCCAUACCCCAGUAACACAGGAUGCUAUCUGGUAGCAUUUUGCUUGCAAUAGAACCUUGCUUCUGCUUUAGCCAGUGUUGAGAUGUCAAAUGCACCCAACAAGUUCAAAUGUUUGAACAUUUGGUCCUCAGCUGUUUUGAAAAAUUGUGGAACGUUUAGAAGACAGGGCUUGCCUAGAGGAAGUACUGGUUGAGGGGGUGGAGAAAGCCUUAAUAUUUAUAGCCCAGCUCUGCUUCCUGUCCUGUCCGCUUCCUAAUCUGCUUAGAAAUGAGCCAGUAGCCUCACAUUCCUGCUGCAGCCAAGAGUGGUCCCCACUACCUUGCCUUCCCUGCCAAGAUGUAGCCACAGUAAACCCCACUCCCAUUAGUUUGCCUCUUGUCACCAUCACAAUGACCAAGGAAAGCAAUAACAGUUCGUGAUUGCUGAGCGUCCGUCCCUGCUGGAUUGGUUGUUUCACCUCCCUAUGAACAUCCUGUGUCUGAAUGAGCUGCCUCCUCUGGUGGAAGGUUUUAAUCUUGGAGGAAACUGUUAAAGAGCAGAUUUUGAUAUGGUUCAGCUGGGAAAGGCACUUGCCUGAAUUUGAUCCUCAUGUCCGACAUGGUACAAGAGGAGAACUGACUCUAGUGAGUUGUCCUCAGGCUGCCAUAUGUGUACCAUAGCAUGUGCAUGCCCACCCACCACCCACCCCCAAAAUGUAAUUUUUAAAGUAUUUUUUGUCCCUACUGUUGAAGAUUAUAAGUGUAAUUGUAUAGAAAUAAACUACUUUCUCCACUAAUCUAUUGGUAGUAAUUGUGUCCAAUCCUCACACUCUGCUGCUAUCUCCCUUACUACUACUGCUGGGUACAGUGAAAUUUUGAAACCCUCAAACUGAGACAUGAAGAUUAGAAUUAGUUUCUUUUGAAAUUUCCCAUAAUAAUAUUUUUAGCUUCUCCUGAGAAUAUUGGGGUUUUUUGUUUUGUUUUGUUGGCUUUUCAAGACAGGGUUUCCGUGUAUAGCCUGAUUAUCCUAAAACUCACUCUGUAGCCCAGGUUAGCCUUAAAUUCAGACAUUUGGCCACCUGUACCUCCUUGAAUGCUAGAAGUAAAGGUGUUUGUUACCACACCCAAUUUAAAACUUCUUUGGGAGGAAAAAAUGAAUGCUGGGCAUGGUGGUCCAAGGAUUUAAUCCCAGCAUUCAAGAGGCAGAAGCAGGCAGGUCUUUUACAAGCCAGCUAGAACCAUACCAUAACACCCUGUCUCAGGGGGUUUAAAAAAAAAAAAAAGAUUUAUGGCUUUCUUUUCCUAUUACUAUAAAAAACUUCAUGAAACUGAUACCAUGUUGAAAUGUUAACUUUGGGGUAAUUUGAGUCUGUGUUCACAGGCCAUGAUCACUAUGUGACUCCAGAAUAAAUUGUUUCUUAUUUGAGAUAAAAAGCUGUGUGUGUGUUUUGUUUUCUGGGAUUUUAUUUUGGUUGGGCUGGUUUGGGGUGUGGGGCAUGGCAGUGACCCAGCCAUGUUCUCAGCACUAAUAUUUUGAAAUGAAUCCUUUUGUUUCGAGUAGUCCAACAAUCAGCUUAAACUUUUCAAUAAACUGUCAGUCUCUCCUUGAUGCCUAUGGAUCAAGACAGAGAACUUUCAGCUUCUUCUCCA